ACUGCUAAUACCGGAUGACGUCGGAGCAUCGCAUGGUGCGCUGACGAAAGGGUUACUGGAUCGGGAGAGCCUCGCGGCCUAUCAGCUUGUUGGUGGGGUAACGGCCUACCAAGGCAUCGACGGGUAGCUGGUCUGAGAGGAUGAUCAGCCACACUGGGACUGAGACACGGCCCAGACUCCUACGGGAGGCAGCAGUGGGGAAUCUUGCGCAAUGGGCGAAAGCCUGACGCAGCAACGCCGCGUGCGGGAAGAAGGCCCUCGGGUUGUAAACCGCUUUCAGCAGGAACGAAAAUGACGGUACUUGCAGAAGAAGGUGCGGCCAACUACGUGCCAGCAGCCGCGGUGACACGUAGGCACCAAGCGUUGUCCGGAUUUAUUGGGCGUAAAGAGCUCGUAGGCGGUUCGGUAAGUCGGGUGUGAAAACUUUGGGCUUAACCCAAAGCCUGCAUCCGAUACUGCUGUGACUAGAGUUCGGUAGGGGAGCGGGGAAUUCCUAGUGUAGCGGUGAAAUGCGCAGAUAUUAGGAGGAACACCGGUGGCGAAGGCGCCGCUCUGGGCCGAUACUGACGCUGAGGAGCGAAAGCGUGGGUAGCAAACAGGAUUAGAUACCCUGGUAGUCCACGCCGUAAACGUUGGGCACUAGGUGUGGGUUUCAACCAACGAAAUCCGCGCCGUCGCUAACGCAU
rnacentral:rRNA from 1 species